CCUUUUUCGUCUCUCCCAAACCUUGCUUACAUUGAUCUUAGCAUGAACAGUUUCUCUGGAUCUAUCCCUCCUCAAUUCAGAAACAUCUCCAAGCUAAUCUACUUUAACCUCUCCACAAACUACUUAACCGGAUCGAUUCCAUUUGAGAUCGGUCUCUUAACCUCAGUUCAAGAUAUCGACUUGUCUAACAAUUCCCUAUCUGGACCAAUACCCUCUUCCAUUGGAAAUCUAAACAACUUGGUAAAACUGCACCUCUUUUCCAAUUCUUUCUCGGGUCCACUUCCUUCUGAGAUUGGAAACUUACCCAACCUUGUUGUUCUAGGUCUUAGUAGAAACAACCUGUCUAAGUCAAUACCCUCUUCCAUUGGAAAUCUCACCAAUUUGGUAAAGGUUUAUCUUCAUACCAAUUCUUUCUCGGGUCCACUUCCUUUUGAGAUUGGAAACUUACCCAACCUUGUUAAGCUAGAUCUUAGUACAAACAACCUGACUGGACCAAUACCCUCCUCCAUUGGAAAUCUAACCAACUUGGUAAAACUGCACCUCUUUUCCAAUUCUUUCUCGGGUACACUUCCUUACGAGAUUGGAAACUUACCCAAACUUGUUGAGAUAGGUCUUUACAGAAACAACCUGUCUGGACCAAUACCCUCUUCCAUUGGAAAUCUAACCAACUUAGUAAAAUUGUACCUCUAUACCAAUUCAUUCUCGGGUUCAAUUCCUUCUUCCUUAGGAAACCUGAAGAACUUAACAGGUCUUUAUCUUGAUAUGAAUUAUCUAAGUGGUUUCAUUCCCGUGGAACUAGGAAACAUGGAAUCCAUGAUUCAGUUGGCGAUAAGUCAGAACAAUCUUAUAGGUUAUGUUCCUAAUUCCUUUGGAAACUUUACCAACCUGGAAUUGUUGUGCCUUAGUGAUAACCACCUCUCUGGUCUUAUUCCACUAGGAGUAUCAAACUCUUCAAAGUUGACUAUCUUGCAACUCGGUAGAAACAACUUCACUGGUUUCUUGCCUGGAAACAUUUGUGAAGGUGGGAAGCUUCAAUAUCUCUCAUUAGAUGAUAAUCACCUCGAAGGUCCUAUACCAAAAAGUUUGAAAAAUUGUCAGAGCUUGAUUAGAGCAAGAUUCAUAGGGAACAUAUUCAUUGGAGAUAUUUCUGAAGCUUUUGGUGUUUACCCACAUCUUGAUUUCAUUGAUCUUAGUCACAACAAAUUCCAUGGUGAGAUUUCAGGCAACUGGGAGAAGAGUCGAAAACUAGGUGCCUUGAUCAUGUCAAACAACAACAUCACAGGUGUUAUCCCACCAGAGACUUGGAACAUGACACAACUAGUUGAGUUGGAUCUGUCUACCAACAACCUAAUUGGUGAGCUUCCAGAAUCAAUUGGAAAACUCACAGGUUUGUCAAAGCUACUACUUAAUGGGAAUCAGCUAUCUGGAAGAGUUCCCGCAAGGUUGAGUGUCUUAACCAUGCUUGAGUAUCUGGACUUAUCUUCAAACAAUUUUAGUCAGAUCCCACAAACCUUUGAUUCAUUUUUAAAGCUUCAUGACAUGAACCUGAGCAGGAACAUGUUCAACGGAUGCAUUCCCCGACUAACAAAACUUACUCAGUUAAAUCAUCUUGAUCUCAGCUACAACCAGCUAGAUGGAGAAAUCCCAUCACAACUCAGCUCCUUACAGAGCCUUAACAAGCUCGACCUGUCACACAACAAUCUUUCCGGUAUCAUUCCCACAAGUUUUCAGGGCAUGAAAGGGCUGACAUAUAUCGAUAUAUCAAACAAUAAACUCGAGGGUCUGCUACCAGAAAAUCCCGCGUUUGAAAACGCAACAGCAGAUUCACUGGAGGGAAACAUAGGCUUAUGCAGUAAUAUUCCUAGACAAAGGUUGAAAUCAUGCCCUAUCACUUCCCCCGGGUUCAAGAAAAAGAAGAAUGGCAACCUUAUUGUUUGGAUACUAGUGUCGAUCCUAGGGGCACUCGUCAUUCUCUCUAUAUGUGCAGGUAUAUUUACCUACUACCUUCGAAAACGAAAAAAACACAUUGGAAAUAACAACUCAUAUGCUGAUAGUGGACAGACUCUGUCCAUCUUUUGCUACGAUGGCAAAGUCAAAUACCAAGAUAUCAUCCAAUCCACAAAUGAAUUUGAUCCAAAAUACGUGAUCGGAAUCGGAGGAUACGGCAAAGUCUACAAAGCAAACCUCCCAGGCGCAACCGUAGCAGUGAAAAAGCUACACCAAACAAUGAACGAAGAGAUAUCAAAGCCAGUGGUGAAGUAAGAGUUCCUAAACGAAGUAAGAGCGUUAACAGAGAUCCGUCACCGCAACGUCGUGAAGCUCUUCGGCUUCUGCUCCCACCGCCGCCACACAUUUCUGAUCUACGAGUACAUGGAAAAAGGAAGUUUAAACAAACUGUUAGCUGACGACAAAGAAGCUAAGCAACUCAACUGGACCAAAAGGAUAAGCAUCAUCAAAGGUGUUGCAAACGCGUUAUCGUAUAUGCACCAUGACCGAACUACUCCAAUCGUCCACCGUGAUAUUAGUAGCGGCAAUAUCCUUCUCGAUAACGAUUACAAAGCUAAGAUCUCCGAUUUCGGUACAGCGAAGCUUCUCAAGAUGGAUUCCUCAAAUUGGUCCGCCGUCGCCGGAACCUACGGCUACGUCGCUCCAGGUAAAUCUAAAUCAACGAUAAUUGAAAAUUGAAAUUGAGCUCAUGAAACUGAAAAUUCUCAACAGAAUUGGCUUACGCGAUGAAGGUGACGGAGAAAUGCGAUGUGUAUAGCUUUGGAGUAUUGACGCUGGAAGUGAUAAAAGGGAAACAUCCGGGAGAUUUGGUUUCGGCUUUGUCAUCUUCGUCUCCGGGAGAAACUCCGUCGUUGAGAAGCAUUUCCGAUGAGCGUUUAGGAGAACCAGAGGCGGAGAUUAGAGAGAAGCUUGUGAAGAUGAUGGAAGUGGCGUUGUCGUGCUUACAAGCAGAUCCAAUGUCUCGG
rnacentral:lncRNA from 1 species